UGCGUAGGCGGCUUUUUAAGUCGGAUGUGAAAUCCCUGAGCUUAACUUAGGAAUUGCAUUCGAUACUGGGAAGCUAGAGUAUAGGAGAGGAUGGUAGAAUUCCAGGUGUAGCGGUGAAAUGCGUAGAGAUCUGGAGGAAUACCGAUGGCGAAGGCAGCCAUCUGGCCUAAUACUGACGCUGAGGUACGAAAGCAGUGGGGAGCGAACA
rnacentral:rRNA from 1 species